GACGAACGCUGGCGGCGUGCCUAAUACAUGCAAGUUGAGCGCUGAAGGCUGGUACUUGUACCAACUGGAUGAGCAGCGAACGGGAGAGUCACGCGUGGGAAAUCUGCCUUUGGGUGGGGUACCACAUUGGGAAACGAAUGCUAAUACCGCAUAAAAACUUUAAACACAAGGUUUAAGGGUGAAAGAUGCAAUUGCAUCACUCAAAGAUGGUCCAGUGUUGUAUUAGUUAGGUGGUGGGGUAAAGGCUCACUAAGGCGAUGAUACAUAGCGACCCUGGUAGGGUGGUGGGCCACAUUGGGACGGGGACACGGCCCAAACGCCUACGGGAGGCAGCAGUAGGGACUCUUCGGCAAAGGACGAAAGUAUGACCGAGCAACGCCGCGUGAGUGAAGAAGGUUUUCGGAUCGUAAAACUCUGUUGGUAGAGAAGAACGUUUGUGAGAGUGGAAAGCUCAUCAAGUGACGGUAACUACCCAGAAAGGGACGGCUAACUACGUG
rnacentral:rRNA from 1 species